GGCGUAGGCCCGUGCCCCUGCUCGCGCUGCAGCCCGUGGAAGGGUUGCGUCCAGUGUAUCCUCCAGAUCUUGCGGUAGUCCUCUCGUAUCUGUGCGCGCGCGGGAGGGACAGCGGCGGCGACGGCCGGAGGUGUACGGUCAGCGGGUUGCGGAGGAUCGUGCGGGUAGCAAAGGGAGGCCGAGUGCGCCUGCGGCUCCCAGACGGCAAACGGUUGCUUCCUCUACUGAAGUCUUGAAACCCCUGAAAGUCAUCCCUGAGGGUUGGAGUUAACUUCUUCUACACUCCUGUUAAUGUUGAUAUUUUGGCCUCCUCCCAUGAAUCACAAAUGUUCUUAAUGGCAUCUAGAAUGGUGCUGUCAACUCUCACCUGGUUUCCUUAGCUCUGGUGAAGUAUUUUCGUGUAUGGAUUGUUUUUCAAAUUGAUGUUUCUGUUGGGGGAUGAGCACUGGAAAGUCCUGCUCUGCCGUCUUGCUGCCAUCUGGACUCCCAAGAACAUGCAUCAUUAUUAGAACCAUCACCCUGCAGCUAGCUUGGAUACCAUUAAAAGGGCUCACCAGCUGCAAACGGAUAAAAGUAUCUGAUACUCGGGAAGACAGAGUUUCAGGGUUUCUACCUGGAGCUACACCCUCCAGAAGCCCCUCCUUGGCCUCCCUGCACCCAGCCCCAUCCCAGCCAGUCACAUCUUGGGCUGUACGUGGUGUUUCUUGGAAACCGGAACACAGACUCCUCCAGCAGCUCCACAGGCCCCUUGUCCUCAGUGAGCAGAAGACUACAGGAGCUGGCUACUGAAGAGGCUGUCCAAGUGAUAGAGCACCUUCUUGGCCCUGCUUAGCACAUUUACUGCAGAGCUGGAUGCUACUUAUUUGUGCUCACCACCUUCAGGGACUGCAGAGGGAUUUGUCAGACCCUACUUCACUAAGGGCCACCCUCUAAGGAUCUCCAGAAGAGGCUGCCCAUAGAGAGAAGUGGCCUGCCUAGGGUCUCCACUGCCUCAGGUCCUACCCGGACACCUCUAGGGCUGAGGGGAUCGGUAUCUCUUCACCUACCUGUAAUCCACAUACCAAGUGGAAGAAUCUGCCUGCUAUUUUUUGUUUGUUUUGGCGGGAAGAGUUUUAACUACUGCUGUAAUUCCUUUAGUAGCUAUGGAACUGUUGAGGAUUUCUUUUUCUUCUUGAGUCGAUUUUCGUAAGAUAACAGUUUUCUAGGAGUUGGUCCAUUUUGCCUGCAUUUUCAAAUUCAUUGGCAUCAAGUUUCCUUUUUAUUCUCUGCUGUGUAUAAACUGUAACGAUGUCUCCUUUUUCAUUACUGAUAUUGGUUAUUUGUGCCUUCUCACUUUUUUUCUUGAUCAAUCUCACCAGAGGUUUAUCUAUUUUAUUAGUCUUUUCAAAGAACCAACUUUUGGCUUUGUUGCUCCUCUCUAUUGUAUCUUUGUUUUCUAUUUCUUUAAUUUCCGCUCUUAUCUUUUUUGAUCUCCUUCCUUCCACAUUUUUUGGGUUUAUUCUGUUGUUCUUUUUCUAAUUUCUUUAACUGGACAUUGAGCUCAUUAAUUUUCAUUCUUGCCCAUUUUCUAAUUUGUGCAUUUAAGGAUAUAAUUUCCCUCUAACUACUGCUUCUCCAUAAGUGUAGAUAUGUAGUAUUUUCAUUAUUGUUCAGUUAUAAGUAUUUCAUUUCCAUCAAGGUUACUUCUUUUACCUGUAAGUUAUAUAGAAAUGUGUUUUUAGAUUUCCAAAUGUUUGGGGAUUUAAAAUUUUACCUCUUUGUUAUUGAAAGCUGUCUUAAUUGCAUUAUGGUCAGAGGAUGUGGUUCGUGUGAUAACAACUCUGAAAUUUUUUAGACUUGUUUUAUGGCUUAGUAUGUGACCAAUAUUUUUGAAUGCUUCCUAUGUGCUAAUUUAUAAGAAUGUGUGUUCUCUAAUUGUUGAAUACAGAGAUCUGCAUAUGUCUAUUA
rnacentral:lncRNA from 1 species